rnacentral:rRNA from 1 species
AUUGAACGCUGGCGGCAGGCCUAACACAUGCAAGUCGAGCGAGCGGCGGACGGGUGAGUAAUGUCUGGGACACUGCCUGAUGGAGGGGGAUAACUACUGGACACGGUAGCUAAUACCGCAUACCAUCAGAUGUGCCCAGAUGGGAUUAGCUAGUAGGUGGGGUAACGGCUCACCUAGGCGACGAUCCCUAGCUGGUCUGAGAGGAUGACCAGCCACACUGGAACUGAGACACGGUCCAGACUCCUACGGGAGGCAGCAGUGGGGAAUAUUGCACAAUGGGCGCAAGCCUGAUGCAGCCAUGCCGCGUGUAUGAAGAAGGCCUUCGGGUUGUAAAGCACUUUCAGCGGGGAGGCGUUACCCGCAGAAGAAGCACCGGCUAACUCCGUGCCAGCAGCCGCGGUAAUAC